rnacentral:lncRNA from 1 species
GUGGAUAGCAGGUCUGUAAAGGGUAAAAAAAGGAUGUAUUUAGAUAUUAGAGUCGGUUUCAUGAAUCAUGCCUAGGUUCUCCUUUAGAUUUAAUGGAUUUUUGCUUAGUAAUGCUGGUAUAGGCAUAGUAUUAGUGUGUUUAGAAUUACGUGCAUUAGCCUUCUCGAUUAAAUUAGAGGUUAGUUGGUUGUUGUGGUUGAGUUUUGGAAGUUUAAGGAGUGAAGUAAG